GGUCGCGCUGAUCCGGCUCCGUCCGAUCCUCCCACCCUUUGUAUACCUACCUCUGUUGCUUUGGCGGGCCGCGUUUUUAAGGGGCCGCCCCCCGAUGCUGGGAAAAGGACACAUCUAAUUAAUAUAAUUAUUAGAUCCCCGAGAGCAAAGCCCAAAAAAAAACCCAAAUAAAGCUCAAAAAAAAAAAUCACCCAGGGGGGCCGGCCCCCCCCCCCCCCUUUAUGGCCCG
rnacentral:rRNA from 1 species